CCUACGGGUGGCAGCAGUGAGGAAUAUUGGUCAAUGGACGCAAGUCUGAACCAGCCAUGCCGCGUGCAGGAAGACGGCUCUAUGAGUUGUAAACUGCUUUUGUACGAGGGUAAAUCCCGAUACGUGUAUCGGGUUGAAAGUAUCGUACGAAUAAGGAUCGGCUAACUCCGUGCCAGCAGCCGCGGUAAUACGGAGGAUUCAAGCGUUAUCCGGAUUUAUUGGGUUGAAAGGGUGCGUAGGCGGUUCGAUAAGUUAGAGGUGAAAUCCCGGGGCUCAACGCCGGCACUGCCUCUGAUACUGUCGGGCUAGAGUUUAGUUGCGGUAGGCGGAAUGUAUGGUGUAGCGGUGAAAUGCAUAGAGAUCAUACAGAACACCGAUUGCGAAGGCAGCCUGCUGGACAUUAACUGACGCUGAGGCGCGAAAGCGUGGGGAGCAAACAGGAUUAGAUACCCGAGUAGUC
rnacentral:rRNA from 1 species